UCUUGCCUGCCCAGUGACAAUGUUAAACGGCCGCGGUAUUUUGACCGUGCGAAGGUAGCGCAAUCACUUGUCUUUUAAAUGAAGACCUGUAUGAAUGGUGAAACGAGGGCUUAACUGUCUCCCUUUUCUAGUCAAUGAAAUUGAUCUGCCCGUGCAGAAGCGGACAUAAAAAUACAAGACGAGAAGACCCUUUGGAGCUUAAGAUAUAAAGAUCAUCUAUGUCAAUGGGCCCCAACACGGCAACAAACUAAAUAGCAACUGAUCUUAAUCUUCGGUUGGGGCGACCACGGGAGAAAAUAAAGCUCCCACGCGGACUGGGGUAAACCCUAAAACCAAGAAAAACAUUUCUAAGCAACAGAACUUCUGACCAUUAAGAUCCGGCUACACGCCGACCAACGGACCAAGUUACCCUAGGGAUAACAGCGCAAUCCCCUUUCAGAGUCCAUAUCGACAAGGGGGUUUACGACCUCGAUGUUGGAUCAGGACAUCCUAAUGGUGCAGCCGCUAUUAAGGGUUCGUUUGUUCAACGAUUAAAGUCCUACGUGAUCUGAGUUCAGACCGG
rnacentral:rRNA from 1 species